rnacentral:rRNA from 1 species
AUUGAACGCUGGCGGCAGGCCUAACACAUGCAAGUCGAGCGGAUGAAGGGAGCUUGCUCCUGGAUUCAGCGGCGGACGGGUGAGUAAUGCCUAGGAAUCUGCCUGGUAGUGGGGGAUAACGUCCGGAAACGGGCGCUAAUACCGCAUACGUCCUGAGGGAGAAAGUGGGGGAUCUUCGGACCUCACGCUAUCAGAUGAGCCUAGGUCGGAUUAGCUAGUUGGUGGGGUAAAGGCCUACCAAGGCGACGAUCCGUAACUGGUCUGAGAGGAUGAUCAGUCACACUGGAAGUGAGACACGGUCAAGACUACUAAGAGAGGGAGCAGUGGGGAAUAUUAGGCAAUGGGCGAAAGCAUGAUACAGCGAGGCCGCGUGUGUGAAGAAGGUCUUCGGAGUGGAAAGAAGGUUAAGGUGGGAGGAAGGGCAGUAAGUUGAUACCUAGCUGUUGUGACGUUACCAAGAAAAUAAGCACCGGCUAACUACGUG